rnacentral:tRNA from 1 species
GCCCGCUUGACGGAAUGGUAGACGUAGCGGACUUAAAAUCCGCGGCCCUACGGCGUGGGGGUUCGAGUCCCCCAGCGGGCACCA